rnacentral:rRNA from 1 species
GAUGAACGCUGGCGGCGUGCCUAAUACAUGCAAGUCGAGCGAAUGGAUUAAGAGCUUGCUCUUAUGAAGUUAGCGGCGGACGGGUGAGUAACACGUGGGUAACCUGCCCAUAAGACUGGGACAACUCCGGGAAGCCGGGGCUAAUACCGGAUAACAUUUUGAACCGCAUGGUUCGAAAUUGAAAGGCGGCUUCGGCUGUCACUUAUGGAUGGACCCGCGUCGCAUUAGCUAGUUGGUGAGGAAUCGGCUCACCAAGGCAACGAUGCGUAGCCGACCUGAGAGGGUGAUCGGCCACACUGGGACUGAGACACGGCCCAGACUCCUACGGGAGGCAGCAGUAGGGAAUCUUCCGCAAUGGACGAAAGUCUGACGGAGCAACGCCGCGUGAGUGAUGAAGGCUUUCGGGUCGUAAAACUCUGUUGUUAGGGAAGAACAAGUGCUAGUUGAAUAAGCUGGCACCUUGACGGCACCUAACCAGAAAGCCACGGCUAACUACGUGCCAGCCGCCGCAGUAA